rnacentral:rRNA from 1 species
GUAGAUUCCAGGUGUGCCGUGAAAUGCGUAGAGAUCUGGAGGAAUACCGGUGGCGAAGGCGGCCCCUGGACGAAGACUGACGCUCAGGUGCGAAAGCGUGGGGAGCAAACAGGAUUAGAUACCUGGUAGUCCACGCGUAAACGAUGUCGACUUGGAGGUUGUGCCCUUGAGGCGUGGCUUCCGGAGCUAACGCGUUAAGUCGACCGCCUGGGGAGUACGGCCGCAAGGUUAAAACUCAAAUGAAUUGACGGGGGCCCGCACAAGCGGUGGAGCAUGUGGUUUAAUUCGAUGCAACGCGAAGAACCUUACCUGGUCUUGACAUCCACGGAAGUUUUCAGAGAUGAGAAUGUGCCUUCGGGAACCGUGAGACAGGUGCUGCAUGGCUGUCGUCAGCUCGUGUUGUGAAAUGUUGGGUUAAGUCCCGCAACGAGCGCAACCCUUAUCCUUUGUUGCCAGCGGUCCGGCCGGGAACUCAAAGGAGACUGCCAGUGAUAAACUGGAGGAAGGUGGGGAUGACGUCAAGUCAUCAUGGCCCUUACGACCAGGGCUACACACGUGCUACAAUGGCGCAUACAAAGAGAAGCGACCUCGCGAGAGCAAGCGGACCUCAUAAAGUGCGUCGUAGUCCGGAUUGGAGUCUGCAACUCGACUCCAUGAAGUCGGAAUCGCUAGUAAUCGUGGAUCAGAAUGCCACGGUGAAUACGUUCCCGGGCCUUGUACACACCGCCCGUCACACCAUGGGAGUGGGUUGCAAAAGAAGUAGGUAGCUUAACCUUCGGGAGGGCGCUUACCACUUUGUGAUUCAUGACUGGGGUGAAGUCGUAACAAGGUAACCGUAGGGGAACCUGCGGCUGGAUCACCUCCUU